AUGGUUACAUCAUUAUUACUGCAUGGAACAACCUUAGAUACUCUUACGUUGACGUGCGCAGGAGGAUUAGGCUUUGGAAUAAUAUCGCUCUCGCUGUUUAACAUUGCAACAACAUCUGACAUGGUGGGUCGAUCAUCCGCACUCUCUUGUACACACAUUAGUGCAAUGUUAAUAUACCUCCUAGCCUCUGUUGUAUGGAUCUCCGUAACAAUUGAUAAUUCUAGAAGCUCAAGCCAUCUUCCUCCUUCCCAGAGAUGCCAUGACUGCAAGAAGCAAAUGAACCAUUUUCAUCACAUACAUGAUAAAAGAAACUUCUGUCCACAAAAUAAUACACUCGUGCGCGAGAGUUUAGAAAAUGCUCACAUAUCCAAGAAGGUUAAGAAAAGUCUUCGCAUUGAUGGAAACGAGAAUUCUUUUUUCCACUAA
rnacentral:rRNA from 1 species